UACGGGGGGGGGCAAGCGUUGUUCGGAAUUACUGGGCGUAAAGGGCUCGUAGGCGGCCAACUAAGUCAGACGUGAAAUCCCUCGGCUUAACCGGGGAACUGCGUCUGAUACUGGAUGGCUUGAGUUCGGGAGAGGGAUGCGGAAUUCCAGGUGUAGCGGUGAAAUGCGCAGAUAUUAGGAGGAACACCGGUGGCGAAGGCGGGUCUCUGGGCCGAAACUGACGCUGAGGAGCGAAAGCGUGGGGAGCAAACAGG
rnacentral:rRNA from 1 species